AGGCACCUGACGGACGACGUUGUGUACCAACAACCACACAUUCGUAGGCCUGAAUCUAAGGGCUGUCAGCCUCCCCCGCCUUGGCUGUAAGUUGGCGGCGGGGCUACCUGCCGUACCUGCUGGCAUGGUUCUCGCAAAGACGAAGUUGGAGGCGCUGCAGCCCAGCUUCUCAGCCUCGUGGUUGCAGCUGUGGAUAUCGAUGCGGUACAGAGUGAAAGGCCGGAGGUUGGAGAUGACAGUCCUCUCCUUGUUAUCCACUCUGCUCUCAAAGAAAGGGUACUCUGUCUCGAACUCCUCCGGGUCUGUGAUAUUGUAGGUGUCAGCUACCGUGGUGUUCCUGCUUCGGCUGGACAUGGUCGUGUUGGCCACUUGCAUGACGUCUCUCCGCCUCCUUUCGGGCCUGCAAGGAGGAGAAAGAAGAUCUGCUGCAAUGAUUCACUGGGAGUCAUUACUCCCAAACUUUAAGAUGAGA
rnacentral:lncRNA from 1 species